rnacentral:rRNA from 1 species
AGAGUUUGAUCAUGGCUCAGAUUGAACGCUGGCGGCAGGCCUAACACAUGCAAGUCGAACGGUAACAGGAAGCAGCUUGCUGCUUCGCUGACGAGUGGCGGACGGGUGAGUAAUGUCUGGGAAACUGCCUGAUGGAGGGGGAUAACUACUGGAAACGGUAGCUAAUACCGCAUAACGUCGCAAGACCAAAGAGGGGGACCUUCGGGCCUCUUGCCAUCAGAUGUGCCCAGAUGGGAUUAGCUAGUAGGUGGGGUAACGGCUCACCUAGGCGACGAUCCCUAGCUGGUCUGAGAGGAUGACCAGCCACACUGGAACUGAGACACGGUCCAGACUCCUACGGGAGGCAGCAGUGGGGAAUUUUGGACAAUGGGGGCAACCCUGAUCCAGCCAUGCCGCGUGCGGGAAGAAGGCCUUCGGGUUGUAAACCGCUUUUGUCAGGGACGAAAAGGGACGGGUUAAGAGCUAGUUCCGCUGACGGUACCUGAAGAAUAAGCACCGGCUAACUACGUGCCAGCAGCCGCGGUAAUACGUAGGGUGCAAGCGUUAAUCGGAAUUACUGGGCGUAAAGCGUGCGCAGGCGGUUGGGUAAGACAGAUGUGAAAUCCCCGGGCUUAACCUGGGAACUGCAUUUGUGACUGUCCGACUGGAGUACGUCAGAGGGGGGUGGAAUUCCGCGUGUAGCAGUGAAAUGCGUAGAUAUGCGGAAGAACACCGAUGGCGAAGGCAGCCCCCUGGGACGCAACUGACGCUCAUGCACGAAAGCGUGGGGAGCAAACAGGAUUAGAUACCCUGGUAGUCCACGCCCUAAACGAUGUCUACUAGUUGUUGGGGACGAUAGUCCUUGGUAACGCAGCUAACGCGUGAAGUAGACCGCCUGGGGAGUACGGUCGCAAGAUUAAAACUCAAAGGAAUUGACGGGGACCCGCACAAGCGGUGGAUGAUGUGGAUUAAUUCGAUGCAACGCGAAAAACCUUACCUAGCCUUGACAUGUCAGGAAUGCUUCGUAAAUGAAGCAGUGCCCGCAAGGGAACCUGAGCACAGGU